GAUUCUCCUGCCUCAGCCUCCUGAGUAGCUGGGACUACAGGGAGCUUCAAAGGCAAGGGUAUACAACUAAGCUUUCUGGAAUGGCUGGUACAAUCAACCCUUCUUGAAGUGGAGUCCUGGAUAAGAUGACCUCUCCAGUCUCGGACUCUAUAGGCACAGAAAAAUGAAGAAGGAUGUCCUUGAGAGGCUAACCCCCGGCAGGGAAAAAGACUUACUCCUGGAUCCUGUGGUUCUCCCACUGCAUUAUUUACAUCCUUACCUGCUGGGAAAUCAUGAAGAACGACAGCAUGAGGAGCACCACUGUCAACAGGCUUCUGAGCGUGGCUUGGAUCCUUAGGGGGAGAAAAGGGCUGUGAAUGAAGUGUGCAGGAUAGAUGGUGGAUUUAUUAUUCACUCUGAGACCAAUUUUUUUUUUCUCAUUAGAGUCCUCUUGACACAAUUACAUUAUGAGUACAUGAUGCAAACCACACAGUUGAGCCAAACAAGGGAAUUAUUAUCAAGUUGAAGAAGAAUGUGUCCUUGCUAAGGGAGGAUGAAAAUCUCAAUUAAAAUAUCCCCCAGUAUGUUUUCUUUUUGCUUUUUUAAGCUGAGAGAGUAAAACAAAAGGGAACUGUUUAUUUAUUUUGAAACAGUAUCUAUUCUACCCCAAAGUAGUGGUUUUUGACCUCUUUCCCUUUCAAGGAUAGCUUUUUCCUUAAAACUGUGAUCAAGACAGAGUCUUAAAAGUUGUGUCUUUAUUAGGAUGGGAAAAGAAGAAAGUUCUAUGAUUUAUGCUCUUGCCUUUUGUAAUGAAAGGAGCUAAUGACUUUCAACAGAAGUAUAAUUCACAAAAAGUAAAAUCCAUUUCAUUUAUUACCACUUAACUAAGUGCUUUUUCUAAUUUGAAAGCAAUGCUACCUCCCAUGCCUGGUCUGCAUUUUGUAUUUAAUCUGAAUGGUUUAUUCAACAGUAGUUCUAAAUAAAUUAGCAAAAAGAAUCUAACAUUCUCUAUCCAUCUAGCCAAAUGCCGAGAUUGGCCAGAGGAUAAGGCAAAGCUGAAGAGCGACCUCUUCUUAUUGACUAGCAAUUGUUAUUCUUAGUUUCUUUAUAUCAAGAGACAGGCUUAUCCUCAUCAUCAUCAAAUCCCACUGAAGGAUAUUAUUUGGAGUUAUAACUUAACACUCUUCAACACUGGCAAGCCUGUGAAAUAAAUAAAGGCAGAUUUUUGUGCCCUU